UUUAACGUCAACCUUGCGACAUUUGACGGUGGUUGCGACAUUUAGCGGCGUUGCGACAUUUAACGUUGUCACAGACAGGAAUCACUAUUUUCAACAUGUUUUUAUCCGUGUUGUCUUAUAUUUUAUGUAUUGCCUAAUAUAUUGAUGGCAUUACAUCCCUUAAAAGUCGCCAUAUGACCUAUUAUGUGUCGGCGCGACGUUAAAUCCAACCAAAAAAAAAUUACAUCCCUUAAAGCGCCCCACGCUCAUUUUUACGUCCCCUCGCCUUUUUACUAUGAUUGAGGUUAGUGAUGCUUGCAGAAUUUCCUUUUUAUCCGCAUUCUUAGCAAUAUUUGUGCAUAGUGUGUGUUGUUUACAUUGAUUCUAUACAUGUUUGCGGUCAUUCUUUUUUAUGUUAUGAUCUGUUAUCAUUUCAUCAAGUGGGUGAUAGAAUGCCAACUAUGUAACUUAAACAUGCAACAAAUGUCCGUAAAUACUGUGAUCUUACCAUCAUUGUAAAGAUUAUCUUCUACUUUUAAUAUUAAGAUUAUAAUUUGCGGUUUUUAAUGACGGAUGUGGAUAAAUUCCGGCUCAGUAGUCCUGGUCGUGUAAUAAGAUUUAUUAGAAGAUCCUUUUAAAACACACUGUGCAAAUACACAAAUUGAUAUAAAAUGGAUAAGAUGAAUCUGUUUAUGGGAGGUAAUGAAAUGUGCAACGCUUCUCACAAACCUUAGCAUCGGAUUAAGCGGGACGCUAUUAUUUGUAAACAUUGGACUGCAUGGUUCCAAGCUAUAUAACUACACUGAGUAUAAUUAUACGGAUCGACACAAGGUAGUACUUGUCUACCCCAGAUAAAGCUGUAAGAGUAACUAAUUAUCUUUUGGGAUGAAGAGAGCCAGCAAGAAGAUUAUUUAGGUUUCUAGUAUAGCCUUUGAUUGAAUGACGACAGUAUUCAGUAACACCAGUAAAAUGUCGCAAUGUCUUAUUGGUUUGACCGGCGGUAGUAGUGACCUGACUGCAGAAAUUUGUACGGCCUUCAAAAAGUUGAAGAGAACAUGUCCUUUUUGCGUGGAUAGCAAUAGCAGCGUGCAUGUGUGUCACUUCAGGCCGCAAUGCCGCUAGGUCGCCAACUUCAGCAACAUGUUAGAGUAGAUGAGUGUAUGGAGGAUAUCUGCACUUGGCCCUAGAUGGUGAAAGCAUCCGUGAUGGGGUUACUCUAUUUAUUUUCUCCGUCAAAGGCAAAGAAAGGGUCGGAGGACAUCUCCUUUUGUCUUACAAAACCACAUGCAUGCGUAAUAUAAGAAUGAACAUAUUUAUAAAUAUAGAUGUUGUGCAGAGAUUACACUUUCUGAUUCGUCUAUCAUUUAAACAUUUAUACAUACAUUGCAUGUCUGUCAUACCUAUUUAUAUCUGGGGGUUUUAAAGUACAGUUUAUAGUGCAUUUGAAUGGGUGCAUUUCCUACUAUGCACAUUUCAAAUAUAAUAAAUAAUGUCUUAUCCGAACUCAUAUGUUCCGGUGCAGGCUACAAAUAACUGUCAGCGUUUAGAUAUAUUGUUCGAUACAUUUUUUUAUAAAAUCGCAUGUAUUAUUUAUUCUCGACACUAUGUUAACUUACACUUUUACACGUGAUAACAUGUUUAACUUAUAUUAUAUAUAUGUAUAUGAUGAUGUGCUAUGUAUAAGUCAAAAUAAAACGUAUGUUCUGUUUCUUUUUUUCUGUUCCGUAAUAUAUA